rnacentral:rRNA from 1 species
AGAGUUUGAUCAUGGCUCAGAUUGAACGCUGGCGGCAGGCCUAACACAUGCAAGUCGAACGGUAACAGGAAGCAGCUUGCUGCUUCGCUGACGAGUGGCGGACGGGUGAGUAAUGUCUGGGAAGCUGCCUGAUGGAGGGGGAUAACUACUGGAAACGGUAGCUAAUACCGCAUAAUGUCGCAAGACCAAAGAGGGGGACCUUCGGGCCUCUUGCCAUCGGAUGUGCCCAGAUGGGAUUAGCUUGUUGGUGGGGUAACGGCUCACCAAGGCGACGAUCCCUAGCUGGUCUGAGAGGAUGACCAGCCACACUGGAACUGAGACACGGUCCAGACUCCUACGGGAGGCAGCAGUGGGGAAUAUUGCACAAUGGGCGCAAGCCUGAUGCAGCCAUGCCGCGUGUAUGAAGAAGGCCUUCGGGUUGUAAAGUACUUUCAGCGGGGAGGAAGGGAGUAAAGUUAAUACCUUUGCUCAUUGACGUUACCCGCAGAAGAAGCACCGGCUAACUCCGUGCCAGCAGCCGCGGUAAUACGGAGGGUGCAAGCGUUAAUCGGAAUUACUGGGCGUAAAGCGCACGCAGGCGGUUUGUUAAGUCAGAUGUGAAAUCCCCGGGCUCAACCUGGGAACUGCAUCUGAUACUGGCAAGCUUGAGUCUCGUAGAGGGGGGUAGAAUUCCAGGUGUAGCGGUGAAAUGCGUAGAGAUCUGGAGGAAUACCGGUGGCGAAGGCGGCCCCCUGGACGAAGACUGACGCUCAGGUGCGAAGGCGUGGGGAGCAAACAGGAUUAGAUACCCUGGUAGUCCACGCCGUAAACGAUGUCGACUUGGAGGUUGUGCCCUUGAGGCGUGGCUUCCGGAGCUAACGCGUUAAGUCGACCGCCUGGGGAGUACGGCCGCAAGGUUAAAACUCAAAUGAAUUGACGGGGGCCCGCACAAGCGGUGGAGCAUGUGGUUUAAUUCGAUGCAACGCGAAGAACCUUACCUGGUCUUGACAUCACGGAAGUUUUCAGAGAUGAGAAUGUGCCUUCGGGAACCGUGAGACAGGUGCUGCAUGGCUGUCGUCAGCUCGUGUUGUGAAAUGUUGGGUUAAGUCCCGCAACGAGCGCAACCCUUAUCCUUUGUUGCCAGCGGUCCGGCCGGGAACUCAAAGGAGACUGCCAGUGAUAAACUGGAGGAAGGUGGGGAUGACGUCAAGUCAUCAUGGCCCUUACGACCAGGGCUACACACGUGCUACAAUGGCGCAUACAAAGAGAAGCGACCUCGCGAGAGCAAGCGGACCUCAUAAAGUGCGUCGUAGUCCGGAUUGGAGUCUGCAACUCGACUCCAUGAAGUCGGAAUCGCUAGUAAUCGUGGAUCAGAAUGCCACGGUGAAUACGUUCCCGGGCCUUGUACACACCGCCGUCACACCAUGGGAGUGGGUUGCAAAAGAAGUAGGUAGCUUAACCUUCGGGAGGGCGCUUACCACUUUGUGAUUCAUGACUGGGGUGAAGUCGGAACAAGGUA